AGCUCAGUUGGUAGAGCAUCGCAUUCGUAAUGCGGGGGUCGGGUGUUCGAAUCACCCA
rnacentral:tRNA from 1 species